GAUAAAUUAAAAAUUCGAAAAUUUAAAUGUAAAACUAAAUGCGAUAUAAUUUUAAAAAAUUACAAAAAAGAAAACUUAAUGUUCUCACAGAUAUACGACCCAAAACACACACACACUCACACACCGAAACACAUCCAAAAACACUCACACACGAAAGUAUCUAUUACCCGCAAAAAGUAUCUAUCAAAGCGAAAAAAAACUAUUUAUUACCGAAAGAUAGAGAGAAGAUCGAGAUAGAGAGAGAGAGAGAGAGAGAGAGAAGCCCGCAAAAUACGAAAAUACAUGUAUUAAUUUUUUUAUCAUUACAAAACAUAAAAGCAAAAACAAAACGUAUAUUGUAUCUAAUGUUAAGUUUUUUUAUUGCGUAAAGCAACAAAUAAUUGUGAGAAAUUUGUAACCAAAACAAAAAACCAACAAAAAACAAAAAAAGCAAAAACAUUUUGUGCAAAAAAAAAUCAACAUUCAACACGUACAGAGAGAAAAACAAAGGCAAAAAAAAUUACAAAAAAAUAAAGCAUAUAAUUUUUCCUGCGCUAGCGGAAAAUAAUUGUGGAAAAAAUUAAAACAAAACGGCUUUCUUUUCUACAACAAGCGAUGGGCUGGAGGGGCAGUGGCACCAUCGGGGCAGAGCUCAGCUCAGCUGUGUUGAGCGGGGGCGGUGGCGGGGGAUUGUAGCGGGUGCAACUUUCUUUCAGCAGCCGCAGUGCAACGCAACCAGUGAAAAUCGGCAACGUUGCUUUCCCGCACAACCCGUUACGUCCGCCCGUCCACGGCCAUGGCAACUUUGUUGCGCUGGGUGCUGGCUGCUGGCUGCAACAAUCGCUGGGCCGCGAUCUGCAGGGGGAAGACAAUUGGGCAACCAGUUUGGGCUAGGCCCACAACAACCCGUUGUUUCCCGGGGGUACAUACACUACAAUACGUAUACGUACGAGUACUCUGAACUUGGCUGAAGUGCGGCAACGUUGCAGCAGCAGCCCGAAAACAGGCUGAGGUGCCUCGCAAAGAGGAAGCAAAAGGUGAAGUGGAGUGGAGGGAUCGUCGAGAAGAGGGUUGCCCAGUGAUUCGCCACAAAAGAUCUGUAUACUGAAAGCUGGAUUUGCGUUGACUUGCCAUGGACAAGGAAGAACUAAAGGAGCUAUGGCGGGAUAUUUAUAUUUGCGUAAUUUUAAAAAAAUGCUUAGUGCCUUCCCUGUACUACGAGUAUUGAAAUCAUCGCUGGCUUGAACCGAUCACCACAUUGACACUCGGCAUCCCACA